UUUUUUUUUUGUAUCUUUCUUAUGUUUCAUAAUUCUGAACCAGCAACCAUUUCAUUAUUAUAUCUCAGAUAUGCCACACCAUUUGGUUUGACAUCAGAAUAUGCUCACCCAGCUGAGAUUUUAUUCCUGGGUUUUGCUACCAUAGUCGGUCCAGCGCUCACCGGGCCUCACUUGAUUACUCUCUGGUCAUGGAUGGUGCUGAGAGUGCUUGAGACUGUUGAGGCACACUGUGGCUAUCAUUUCCCAUGAAGCCUCUCAAAUUUUCUUCCUCUUUAUGGAGGUGCUGACUUCCAUGACUACCAUCACCGACUGCUCUACACAAAUUCUGGAAACUACUCUUCAACUUUUGUGUAUAUGGACUGGAUCUUUGGUACCGAUAAAGGCUAUAGAAGACUGAAGUCUCUUAAAGAAAACAGUGACUUGAAACAAACGUGAAGUCUCCUGUUUGGAUCGCAGAGAACAUUUUGUCUGCUGGAAAAUGCUGAUUUGCUGAGUGUCUAUUUGCAUCUCUGUGGAGGUCUUUUAUUCUGCAACCUCUUCUUGUCUUCCAUUUUGCUGCACCUGUUGUUAUGUCUUAGUUUAUUGUGUUGUGUCUAGUAUUGCUACAAAUGUGGCAAAUGUGGCGUCGUUGAACAACAUCUGGUACUUGAAUUCUCGGAGUAGCCAAACUAGUACGUGUGUUGGGCGAUCGAAGCAUUAGUGUGCUAGAUGGGUUUGUAACUUCGAUUUCAUUCAGGGAUAAAAUCUUACAUGACAGGUAAUUUAAUUUUUGACUUUCGAUCUCAUCAAUCAUCAUAAAUAAAAAAACUCUUAGGUUAUAGAUGAAUUAGUUAUCAAUGACCCGUAGUGUUCAUGUCCAAGAUAAAAUACUCUUACAUUAGAUCAAUCAGUUAUCAAUCUCACCCAACAUCGACACGUACUAAUGUGCAUGGCCUCUUUGGUGGUGGUGGGUCACGUCCUUUUUGUGGUCUAGUUACCAUUUUCGACACGUCCAUACUCUAUAACCCAAUGAUCUUCUCUCUUCCUUUCCGUGAGAUUUAGAAUUUCUCCUACACAAACUUGGCCCACCCGUUGCAAAGACUAAACGUGUUUAUCAACAAAAGAAAAUUCCGUUUGCUGUCCGAAAGUAUAACAACGCGUACUCCAAUGAAUGGUUUUGUCUAAAAGCAAGAAGAAAGAAAAUAUUCACAUGCAUUUUUAUUCAUUGAAUUAUGCAUAUAAUAACUUUUACUCUCUCUCUAUAUACUUUGCUCUGCCUUCUCUCUAGGAACUACCGACGACAUAAUCGCCUCCGGCCGGCGGAUUGGGCUUCCACAGCCACCGCCGGUCCGGCUUUUCCGGUUCUCUGUUUUUUUUCUUUUCUUGUUUUGUGUUUUUUGGGAAUUUUCUCUGCUUCCGGCGGCGCACACUUCCAUAGGUGGCUGGUCGGCUUCGACUCCGGCGUUGUACCUACUACAAGGGGUAGACGGUCGGCUUAAGGGUUCGGA